AUUGAACGCUGGCGGCAGGCCUAACACAUGCAAGUCGAGCGGAGCGGCGGACGGGUGAGUAAUGCCUAGGAAUCUGCCUGGUAGUGGGGGAUAACGUCCGGAAACGGGCGCUAAUACCGCAUACGAUUGAAUGAGCCGAUGUCGGAUUAGCUAGGUGGCGGGGUAAAGGCCCACCAAGGCGACGAUCCGUAGCUGGUCUGAGAGGAUGAUCAGCCACACUGGAACUGAGACACGGUCCAUACUCCUACGGGAGGCAGCAGUGGGGAAUAUUGGACAAUGGGCGCAAGCCUGAUCCAGCCAUACCGCGUGGGUGAAGAAGGCCUUCGGGUUGUAAAGCACUUUAAGUUGGGAGGCGUUACCAACAGAAUAAGCACCGGCUAACUUCGUGCCAGCAGCCGCGGUAAUUC
rnacentral:rRNA from 1 species